GGUGAACGCUGGCGGCGUGCUUAAGACAUGCAAGUCGAACGGCAGUCUUCGGACUGUAGUGGCGCACGGGUGAGUAACGCGUAACUGACCUACCCCAAAGUCGCGGAUAACGAUUCGAAAGAAUCGCUAAUACGUGAUGUGCUGUCAGAUUGUGUUCUGCCAGUAAAGAUUGAUUGCUUUGGGAUGGGGUUGCGUUCCAUCAGAUAGUUGGGGGGGUAAAGGCCCAACAAGGCGACGAAGGAUAGCCGGCCUGGGAGGGUGGACGGCCACGGGGGCACUGAGACACGGGUCCCACUCCUACGGGAUGCAGCAGUUAGGAAUCUUCCACAAUGGGCGAAAGCCUGAUGGAGCGACGCCGCGUGAGGGAUGAAGGUCUUCGGAUCGUAAACCUCUGAAUCAGGGACGAAAGACACUUCGGUGGGAUGACGGUACCUGAGUAAUAGCACCGGCUAACUCCGUGCCAGCCGCCGCGGUAACAC
rnacentral:rRNA from 1 species